rnacentral:rRNA from 1 species
UACGGAGGGUGCAAGCGUUAUCCGGAUUCACUGGGUUUAAAGGGUGCGUAGGUGGGCAGGUAAGUCAGUGGUGAAAUCUCCGAGCUUAACUCGGAAACUGCCGUUGAUACUAUUUGUCUUGAAUAUUGUGGAGGUAAGCGGAAUAUGUCAUGUAGCGGUGAAAUGCUUAGAUAUGACAUAGAACACCGAUUGCGAAGGCAGCUCACUACGCGAUUAUUGACACUGAGGCACGAAAGCGUGGGGAUCAAACAGG